AUGAAACUGAUUCAAGAAAGUGAAAACUUUUGCAGAGAUGAAAGAAGUGAUUUCUAUUUUCAGAAGCAAGACAUUAAAGCUGCAUACAACAAGAAGCUGGGAUUUCAGGGGUCUAACUCUUUUCAAUACCGAAGCUGCUCCAUUGCAAUUGGAAUAUGGUGACGAUGUUGUAAUUGGCAUCUUUGACACAGGCUUUCCCACCAAGUAUAUGGCCACAGAAUCGGAUAGCUUUCGACCUAACCUACGUUGGGAAAAAUUAUUCCACACGGACGGACACCGCAUGCAAGAUACAUGCGGUAUCAGAUCCUGAGGUUAUUCUUGCUAUAAGUUGUUGCAUUUGGUUCUCUUUGAAGGAUUGGUGCAGGUUCCUGGCCUGUGAAGAUAAUUUUGGUUUUGUCAUUUUAGAAAGUGUGUCUUCACCUUCAGCUUCGCAUCACACCGACUACACUUGAUAACUUGGCUGGGAGUGUUAUUUGGAUGGCGCCUGCCUGUAGUGCUUACUGGUUUUUGCUUUGCUCUCUUCCGGGUUGUAUUUAUUGGCAUAUGUAUACUUUUUAUUUUGGGUUUUUUUUUGUGCUUUGGAGGUAUACUUGUAUCUUUCGUCUUUCAUUCUUGCGUGGAGUUGUGCUAAAGGAUGUGGAACCCUUAGGGGUAUGUUUCCAGUAUUUAGUCUUUUUAGAUUUGGGGAUCCACCCACCUCCCCAUUUUUUGUAACCCCUUCUUAAUUAAUAGAAUCAGAGCAACAAUACUCC